rnacentral:lncRNA from 1 species
AUUCCAUUUCAUUUUUGAAAUUUUUCUUCAAUUUUUGUCCUUUUUAUUUUCUUACUUUUUAUAUUUUCUUUUUUUUUCUUUUUUUGUGCUUUAUUUAUUUUUUUCUUUUGCUUUAAUUUUCUUUCUUAUUUUAUUUUUAUUUCUUUCUUUUUUUAUAGUUUCAUAAAUUUUUAUUAAGUUUUGAAAUUUUUUAUUUUUCUAUCUUUUUUCUUUUCUUUUUUUAUUUUAUCAUCUCGGUUAUUUUUUAUUGCAUUUUUAUAAUUUUUCAUUAACUUUUUCUCCUUUCAAAUUUUUCUUCUUUUUUUUAUGUGCUUUCGUUUCUUUUUCUUCACUUUUUUCCUUGUUUUAAAAUUUUCUAUAAAUUUUUUUCUUUUUGUUUUAUUUCAUAUUUUUGCCUCUUCAUUUUUUAUUUUUUUUUUCUCAUUUUUCUCAAAUUUUAUUUUAUAUAUUUUGUAUUUUCAUUUUUUAAUUUUUUCUUGCUUUUUCUUAAAUCUUUUUGUUUGCACUUUUUUUUAUUUCUUCUUUAUAAUUUUAAAACCUCAAACUUCUUUUUUUGUGCACAUUCUUUUAUUUUUAUUUUUAUUUUUAUUUUUCAUCUUUCAUAUUUUAUAUCUUUUUCCUUUAUUUGUUGUAUAUAUUUUUUGUUUUUCUUUGUACGUUCUAAACUAAAAGUUUUUUUUUCCAUUUGUUUUGAUUUUUAUUCAUUUUGUCUUUUUAUAUUUUUGAUUCGUAAAUUUUUUAUUUUCUUGCUUGUUACUUUUUGUUUUGUUUAUUUUUAUUUUUUCCUUUUUUGGUAUUUUAUUUAAUUUUUCUUUUAUAUUAAUAUUUUCUCUUAAUUUAUUUUUUCAUUUUUUUUAUUUAUAAUUUAAAAAAUUUUAUAAAGUUUAAAAUUUUUUAUUUUUUCAUUUUCUUAUUUUUUGUCUAUUUUUUUUGCUACUUUUUGUUCUAUUUUAUAAAUUUUCAAUAACUUUUUCCCUUCAAAAUUUUCUUUCUUUUUGCCUUUUUUUCAUAUGCUUUCAUUUUUAUUUGUUUUAAUUCUUUCAAUGUUUUAAAAUUAUUUAUAUUUCUUUACGCUUUUUCCAUUUUUUUUUCACAAAUUUCCCUUCACUUCUUAUUUCGUUUUUUAAAUUCUCAUAAUUUUUUUUUUUUGCAUUUUCUCCUUUGGUUUCAUUUUUACUUUGAAUUAACUUUUCUCUUUUUUAAUUUUUUGCCUUUGACUUUUUAUAUUAUUUUCUCAUUAUGUCUUAUAUGUUUUUCAAUUUUUUGUAUUUUUUGAACUAUUUUUUUUUCAUUUUGUCAUUCCAUUUCAUUUUUGAAGUUUUUAUUCAAUUUUUGUCUUUUUAUUUUCUUACUUUUUAUAUUUUUAUUUUUAUUUUUUUUAUUUUAUCAUUGUUGGUUCUUUUCUAUUGCAUUUUUAUAAUUUUUCUUCAACUUUUUCUCCUUUCAAAUUUUUCUUCUUUUUUUUACUUAUUUUUUCAUGUGCUUUCAUAUUUUUUUGUUUUCACUUUUUUCUUUGUUUCAAAAUAUUCUAUAAACUUUUUUCUUUUUGUUUUAUCUCAUAAUUUUGACUCUUCAUUUUUUUAUUUUUUUCUUGUUUUAACUUUUUUUUGCCCUUCCUUGUCUUAUUUUAUUUUGUAUUAAAUUUUUCCCUUCGUUAAUUUUUUUUGAUUAUAUUUUUUUAAUUACUUUUUUCUAUGUUAUGUAAAUUAAAAUAUAAUUUGUAAUCCAUUUCAUUUUUAAUAAAUUUUCAAUCUUGAUUUUUAGCAAAUUAUUUCUAUUGUUUGUUUAUUUUUAAAGAAUACUUUUUUAUAUUUAUAAUAUACUAAUUUUUCAAUUUUUAUAUGGCUAAAAUUUUUUUUGACCAUAUCCUUAAUUUUAAUCAAAAAAAGUUUUUUCAUUUUUUAAUCUUUUUCUUUUUGCUUUAAUAUUUUCUCUUAUUUUAUUUUUCCUCUUACUUUGUUUUUUAUAAAUAAAUUUAUAAAUGUUAUAGAUAUUAAAACAUUGCUCAAUGAGACUUUGACUUUAUUAGAAAUGGAAGGUGUUAUGUGCAUGUAUGCUAAUUAAGAUAUCUAGUUAAGAUCAUCUGUAAUUUAUCUUGAAAUUUGUUUUUAUUUAUCGUGUAAUUUUAUCUAAUUAACAAAAUUCUCUUGUAUAAUAUUUUAUCUUUCAUUUGUUAUUAAUUUUUUUUUUCUAAUUUUUUUCUUUUGACUCAUUAUUUUUUCAUUUCCUUACUUUUUUUAUUUUUUCUAUUUUGUGCUUUUGUUUAUUUUAUUUUUUUUCUCUUUUUAGUACUUAUUUUUUUUCCUUUCUCCUUUAAAUUUUCUCUUAUUUUAUUUUCCUUUUAUUUUUUUCUUUUUUUUUAUAAAAAUUUUAUAAUGUUAUAGAUAUUAAAACAUUGUUGAAUGAGACUUUGGCUUCAUUAGAAAUGGAAGGAGUUAUGUGCAUGUAUACUAAUUAGAUAUCUAAUUAAGAUCAUCUUGUAUUUUAUCUUGAAAUUUGUUUUUAUUUGUCGUGUAAUUUAUCUAAUUAACAAAAUUAUCUUGUAUAAUAUUUUAUCUUUUAUUUAAUUCAAUUUGGAUUAUUUUUUUACUACUUAUUAUUUUAUUUAUUAUUUUGGAUUGUGUAAUAUUUAUCUUUUAUUUAAUACAAUUUGUUAAGAGAUAAUAAUUAUCUUUGUUAUUUCUUUUGGAAUUUUAUUGGCUUAUAUAUAAUAACACUAGUUUGGAAUUGUUAUAUCUAUCACUAUUUACUUCAUGUAUCCAAAUUUUUACAUUUUUAACGAUUUAAAAAUUAAAAGUUCUAAAUUUAAAUCAAUAAAUUCAAAUCAAAAUAUUUUGCAUCUAAACUUUCGAAUUCAAAUUAAGUUUUAAACAUAAAUUAAAGAUUGAACUUUUGUAGAAUUUUUUUUAUUUCUUUAUUUACUUCCUUUUUCUUUUCCUUUUUUUUGACUUUUUUUGUUUUUUUUUUUACUUUUUAUGCAUUUUCUUAAUUUUUCAUUCCUUUUUUUUUUCUUUUUACAUAAUACUUUCUUUCUUGUUUUCUUUCUAUUACUUAUUUUCCUUUUACUUUGAUUUUCUUUUUUGUUACUUCAAUCUAAUUGGUCAUUUACAUUAUUUUCUAUUAAUGUUUUUCUUUUUGCACUCUCUUUACUUUCUAUCUUUGUUUUUCUCAUUUUUUAUUUUUUCUUAACGUUUUUCUUCUUUUUUUGGGGUUUUCUUGGCUUUUUUUUCUCAUUUGUGAUUUUUGUUCCACACUUCCUUCUUUUGUUUUUAUUUUUUCUUUUUGUAUUAACUUUUCCCUUCUUUUAAUUUUUUCUUUUUGAUUUUUUAAAUCUUUUUUUCUCAUUAUUUGUUAUUUUUUUAUAUUUUAUAAACUAAACUUUUCUCUAUUUUGUCAUUUUUUCCAUUUUUAAUAUUUUCUAUUUUUUUAAUUUUUUCUUUUGACUCGUUAUUUUUUCAUUUCCUUACUUUUUUUUGUUUUUUUUUUUGUUUUUAGUACUUAUUUUAUCAUUUUCCUUUUAUUUUUUAUUUUUAACUUUUGUUAUUUUUAUAAAACUUUUGUAAUGUUAUGGAUUUUUACUUCAUUUUUUAAUCUAUUGUUCUUUUGGUUUUUCUCAUUUUUUUCAUUUUUUAUUUUUUGCUAUUUUUAUUCUAUUUUUAUAAUUUUUCAUUAAUCCUUUUUUUUUCUUUUUCUUUUAACUUAUUUGUUGAUUUACUUUCUUUUUUUUUUUCUUUCUAUUAAAAUUCUCUAUUUUUUUCUUGCUUUUUCUUAUAUCUUUUUGUUCACACUUUUUUUAUUUCUUCUUUACAAUUUUAAAACCUCAAACUUCUUUUUUUGUGCACUUCCUUUUGUUUUUAUUUAUAUUUUUUAUUAACUUUUAUUUUAUUUUUUUCUUUAAACUAAAAGUUUUUUCUAUUUUAUAUUUCAAAUUUUUAUUCAUUUUGUCUUUUUAUAUUUUUUUUAUUUUCUUACUUUUUCAUUUUUUUCCAUUUUUGGUAUUUUAUUUAAUUUUUUCUUUUAUAUUACUAUUUUUUUAUUUGUUUUUUAUUUAUAUUUUUAAAAACUUUUAUAAAAUUUUAAAAUUUAAAAUUUUUUGAAUCUUUUUUAUUUUUUCAUUUUCAUUUUUUUUGUUCUAUGUUGUAAUUUUUCAAUAACUUUUUCCCUUCAAAAUUUUCUUUCUUUUUGCUUUUUUUUUUUUCAUAUGCUUUCAGUUUUACUUGUUUUAAUUUUUUCGUUGUUUUAAAAUUUUUUAUAUUUCUUUUUUCUUUUUUUAUUCCAAAUCUUUUGUCUUUUCAUUUUUAUUCUUUUCUUAUUUUUUCACAAAUUUCCUUUCAUUUCUUAUUUGCAUUUUUAAAUUAUUAGACUUUUUUUGUGCACUUUCUUUUUGUUUUUAUUUAUAUUUUUUAUUAACUUUUAUUUUAUUUUUUAUCUUUGAUUUUUUAUAUCUUUUUCCUAUAUUUGUUAUAUUUUUUUUGUUUUUCUUUGUAUAUUCUGAACUAAAAGUUUUUUCUAUUUUGUAUUUGAAAUUUUUAUUCAUUUUGUCUUUUGUAUUUUUUUAUUCGCUAAUUUUUUAAUAUCUUACUUUUUUAUUUUUUGCUUUUUUGGUAUUUUAUUUAAUUUUUUCUUCUAUAUUAAUAUUUUAUCUUAAUUUAUUUUUCCAUUUAUUUUUAUUUAUAUUUUAAAAAAUUUUUAUAAAGUUCAAAAUUUUUUAUUUUUUUUGAUUUUUAUUUUAUUAUUUUUGCUAUUUUUGUCCUACUUUGUAAUUUUUUAAUAACUUUUUCCUUCAAAACUUUUCCUUCUUUUUGCUUUUUUUUCAUAUGCUUUCAUUUUUACUUGUUUUAAUUUUUUCGUUAUUUUAAAAAUUUUUAUUUUUCUGUUUUUUAUUCCAAAUCUUUUGUCUUUUCAUUUUUAUUCUUUUGUUGCUUUUCUUAUUUCUUUUUUCACAAAUUUCCUUUCAUUUCUUAUUUGCGUUUUUAAUUCAUACUUUUUUGCAUAAC